CCUACGGGAGGCAGCAGUGAGGAAUAUUGGUCAAUGGGCGAGAGCCUGAACCAGCCAAGUCGCGUGAAGGAUGACGGCCCUACGGGUUGUAAACUUCUUUUGUCAGGGAGCAAUUGGGUCCACGCGUGGGCUUAUCGAGAGUACCUGCAGAAAAAGCAUCGGCUAACUCCGUGCCAGCAGCCGCGGUAAUACGGAGGAUGCGAGCGUUAUCCGGAUUUACUGGGUGUAAAGGGAGCGUAGACGGCAGCGCAAGUCUGGAGUGAAAUCCCAUGGCUUAACCAUGGAACUGCUUGGGAAACUGUGCGGCGAGAGAGCAGGAGAGGUAAGCGGAAUGCCUGGUGUAGCGGUGAAAUGCGUAGAUAUUAGGAGGAACACCAGUGGCGAAGGCGGCUUACUGGACUGUAACUGACGUUGAGGCUCGAAAGCGUGGGGAGCAAACAGGAUUAGAUACCCUUGUAGUC
rnacentral:rRNA from 1 species